rnacentral:rRNA from 1 species
GUCUUUAAGAAUUUAAUUUAAAGUCAAAUCUGCCCAAUGAAUUUUAUUUUAAUGGCUGCAGAAUAUUAACUGUACAAAGGUAGCAUAAUAAUUUGUUUUUUAAUUAAAAACUAGAAUGAAAGAUUUAAUGAAAUAUAAACUGUUUCAACUAAUAAUUUAUUAAAUUUUUUAUUUGAGUAAAAAAACUUAAAUAAAAUUUUAAGACGACAAGACCCUAUAGAAUUUUAUUUAUUUAAUUUUAAUAAAAAUUAAAUAAAUUUUAUUGGGGUAAUAUAAAAAUUUAAAAAAUUUUUUUUUAAAAAAACAAAUUAAAUGAAAUAACUAAUUAAUCUUAAUUUUUAAAUUAAAAAAAUUAAUUACCUUAGGGAUAACAGCAUAAUUUUUUUUAAAAGAUCAUAUUUAUAAAAAAGAUUAU